rnacentral:rRNA from 1 species
GACGAACGCUGGCGGCGUGCUUAACACAUGCAGGUCGAACGGAAAGGCCCUGCUUUUGUGGGGUGCUCGAGUGGCGAACGGGUGAGUAACACGUGAGUAACCUGCCCUUGACUUUGGGAUAACUUCAGGAAACUGGGGCUAAUACCGGAUAGGAGCUCCUGCUGCAUGGUGGGGGUUGGAAAGUUUCGGCGGUUGGGGAUGGACUCGCGGCUUAUCAGCUUGUUGGUGGGGUAGUGGCUUACCAAGGCUUUGACGGGUAGCCGGCCUGAGAGGGUGACCGGCCACAUUGGGACUGAGAUACGGCUCAGACUCCUACGGGAGGCAGCAGUGGGGAAUAUUGCACAAUGGGCGGAAGCCUGAUGCAGCAACGCCGCGUGCGGGAUGACGGCCUUCGGGUUGUAAACCGCUUUCGCCUGUGACGAAGCGUGAGUGACGGUAAUGGGUAAAGAAGCACCGGCUAACUACGUG